AUGUCCGAUCUUCCCAAGCCAUCUGAGGUAGAUGCUGAUAACAUCAUUAAGCCCAGUCUUGAUGAGAUAUCGGCUGAUCAUCGCCAAGUCUAUGAGGAGUACAAGAAGACACGUGAGGAGAAGGACCUGCAGGAGUUCCUUGCAAAAUUCAAGAAAGAUCGCCAAGGCAACAUCACUCCGAUUGGAGAAAUCAAGUUUCCUCCUCUUCAAGCCGAGCAGGUUAAACUCGCUGUGAGUACUACCUUUUCUCCUGAGCAGUGGGCUGAGAUUGAGAGUCGUAUUGCUGAUGGUAACAAUCUGGUCUAUCAAACUUUCAUAGAAAAUACCAAUGCUCAAAAAAAUAUAUCUCAAUCAUCUAGUGGUAAUGAUGGUGUAGCUGCUAGUGUGCAAAACCCUAAUCUGGCUUUACCUAUUGCAUCGGCGCUUCCUGUGCCAAUGGCUUAUUGUCCUACCCAAACAAAUCAGAUUGUGGCUACACCCAUUAACCCUAUUAUGAGCGUGCCAGGUUCGGUGGCAACGCCGAACUAG
rnacentral:rRNA from 1 species